GCGAACGUAGUUCAGUGGUAGAACAUCACCUUUCCAAGGGGAGGGUGGCGGUUUCGAACCCAGUCGUUCGCU
rnacentral:tRNA from 1 species